rnacentral:rRNA from 1 species
UACGAAGGGUGCAAACGUUGCUCGGAAUCAUUGGGCGUAAAGCGCACGUAGGCGGCUUGCCAAGUCGGACGUGAAAUCCCUCAGCUCAGCUUAGGACGUGCAUCCGAAACUGGCGAGCUUGAGUACUGAAGAGGAUCGCGGAAUUCCCGGUGUAGAGGUGAAAUUCGUAGAUAUCGGGAGGAACACCAGUGGCGAAGGCGGCGAUCUGGGCAGAUACUGACGCUGAGGUGCGAAAGCGUGGGGAGCAAACAGG